rnacentral:misc_RNA from 1 species
CAUGCAAUUCCUUAUUUACCAAAGAUGUCUGUUAAUUCUGUUCUGUACUCAUAUUUAUCAAGUAUUGAGUAUAUCUUCUUAUUUUCCAUUUUUGUUUUGGUUCUGGAUAAUGUUACUCUAUGUCUAACAAGACUUCUCUUGUCUAUACAUUCUGGUAAAGACAGACAUAUGAUUCGUAAAUCAAUCCUGUUCUCAGCAGAUCGGAUAAUAUUCUUGUAUCUAGUUUAUCUGAUUUUAUCUUUGCUUCUGCUGCUAUUAUCUUUGUUUUAUGUAUGGAUUAGCCAGAAGUCUGUACCUAUUUCCUUAUCUUCUA